CACAUGCAAGUCGAACGAAGCACUUACUUGAUUCUUCGGAUGAAAGUUUGGUGACUGAGUGGCGGACGGGUGAGUAACGCGUGGGUAACCUGCCCUGUACAGGGGGAUAACAGCUGGAAACGGCUGCUAAUACCGCAUAAGCGCACGAGGAGACAUCUCCUUGUGUGAAAAACUCCGGUGGUACAGGAUGGGCCCGCGUCUGAUUAGCUGGUUGGCAGGGUAACGGCCUACCAAGGCAACGAUCAGUAGCCGGUCUGAGAGGAUGAACGGCCACAUUGGAACUGAGACACGGUCCAAACUCCUACGGGAGGCAGCAGUGGGGGAAUAUUGCACAAUGGGGGAAACCCUGAUGCAGCAAACGCCGCGUGAGUGAAGAAGUAUUUUCGGGUAUGUAAAAGCUCUAUCAGCAGGGGAAGAUAAUGACGGUACCUGACUAAGAAGCUCCGGCUAAAUACGUGCCAGCAGCCGCGGUAAUACGUAUGGAGCAAGCGUUAUCCGGAUUUACUGGGUGUAAAAGGGUGCGUAGGUGGCAGUGCAAAGUCAGAUGUGAAAAGGCCGGGGGCUCAAACCCCGGAGCUGCAUUUGAAAACUGCAUAGCUAGAGUACAGGGAGAGGGCAGGGCGGGAAUUCCUAGUGUAGCGGGUGAAAAUGCGUAGAUAUUAGGAGGAAACACCAGUGGCGAAAGGCGGGCCUGCUGGACUGUUACUGAC
rnacentral:rRNA from 1 species